rnacentral:lncRNA from 1 species
UUGGAAGUCUCCAUCUCUCGUGCGCUGGUUCCACCAGGCCAGCCCAGCCCCACGGCAGGCAACCAAGUUCAGAGGAGGAACGAAGAUUCCACGACCACGUCAGGGCGGUGGCAGCCAGGACAUGUGCCAGGGAGAGGAAAUGGGCCUGAAGAAUGAGACUGGGGUAAACGGCAGGGCUCCGUGAGGCAUGAAGCUGGCUCUGAAAGGAAGACCAAGGCCUAAGAGGAUAAGAAAAGGCCACCGCCGGGGACCUUGUGAGCUGGGCCCGUUUCCCGGGCUCUGGGUGAAGCUGGGGCAGAUCAGCCCGUUGCUGGCGGCUCUAAUGGGAAGAGUUUGCUUGGAUGGAGCUGGAAGCAACCUCCCCAUCAGGUCCCGGUUCUGCCCUCUGCAAACGCCAGACUAAUGGAGGAGGAUUCAUGGUUCUUUGUCCACAUCGGCAAGGACACUCCUGGCGGGGACAAGUACAUAAGCAAAGGCACAGAGGCUGGAGGCACAGGGCAUGUUCACAGAAGGCGCAGGAACACGGGAGAGCUGCAGGCUGCCCACCAAGUCCAGCCCCACUGGCCUGCCCAGCGUGGAGGCCCUGAGAGGCCGGAGGGGUAAGGUGGCAGACCUCCCUGGGGCCCCUCUGAUUAUUCUCUCUGCCCUCCCAAUUCCCAGUACAGGCCCUCAGGAUGUACUGAUGCCCCAACUAUACUCCUCAGCUCUGAGAAGCUGGUCCAGAUGCCUCUCCUCUCCAAGUUUGUUUCCCUGUAAGCCACACGGACACGUUGAUAGUGACCUCCAAGCUGACUGCAUAGCUCCUUCGCUCAGUUGGACAAAUACUUAUUGGGCAUUGAUUGUGGGUCAAGCAUUGGAUGAGGUACAGGGAAGACAGUGGUGAACAAAACAGACCUUAUCCUUGACUUCAUCCAGUUUACAGUCCACAGAGGCAGACAGGCAAAACGAACCUCCACUCCAUUAACAUACACUUUACAAAGCUUUGAAAAGAAGAUACUAGGGGCAAAGAGAGCAUACCACAGGAGAGGGGGUGAAGGAGCCCUCUCUAAAAUAAUCUUUAAGCUGGGACCUGAAUGCUGAGGAGGAGUAAGCCAGAGGAACGGUUUGGGGUAGAGUGCUCCAUGCAGAAGAACAACAUGUGCCAAGGCCCUGAGGCAGGGGAGUGCUGAACUCAUUUCCUCCUUGUGUGCAGAGAGCAGAGAGAAAGGGGGAGUAGCACUAGGCGAGUCUGGGGAAGUAGGCAGAGAACAGACAAGGCAGGGCCCCAUGGGCCAGGCAAUGACCUGAUAUUUGAGUCUAGGGACAAUGGGAAGCCACCCAAAGUAUUUUCAAUGGGCCUCCACACGAUUCUACACUUACAACUUUAAAGAUGACUUCAGUGGGGAGUGGAGAUCGUGGGUGGAACUUCCUCACCCCUGCCCUGCAAGAACUUCCAGGAUCUGAGGCCCCAGCAGUGAAGGGGUUGGCCAUGGCCAGGGGCCAGGAUCUACGCCGUUUCUUCCCCACCCCGGGCUGCCUCCAACAAUUAUAAUGUGCUCGCCACCGUUCUUCACCUCAUUUGAUUCUUCCACACCUGGGCAAGGGAGGCCCUAGGACAGGGACUCUCAGUUUCCUGACCCAGUAAAAGACACCGAGGCCCAGAGAGCUGAGCAGGUUUACCACACAUCAUGCAGCAAGUGACCCAAAACUAGAUCAGAUGAUUGCCAAGCACGAGCACUGUGCCGAGAUCCAUGCACCGUAGGAAUGGACAGCCUCGAAGAUGGAGAAGAAUGUUGGGGUGGAGGAGGGAGAUUUUAGAGGCUGGAGUGACCCUUGAGGAGGACAGGUCUGAGGCCCACGGUGCCAAACCGAAGGCCCCACACAGAAAGUCUGGGCAUGAUGUGGAAUGAAAUGGGGUGGCGUCUCUGGGGACACCAUACCCACAAAUGACCCCUGUGCAAACAACCAUGAGGACCAUGACAGUCUCAGGCCUUCCCAGGGGCCACACCCCAUGGCACAUCUGCUCCCGCUGCCCCCAACACGCCUGAUGAGAUUUAAAGGCAGCAGCUCUGCCCUGAGUCUGUGCAGCUCCUGGCACGACCGCCAACUCCUGCGACCAUCAUGACCCGGACGGAGCCCCCAGCCCCUCCAUCCCAGCGAGGGCCACAGAUCCCUCCUCAGUGGCGUCUGAGUCGCGGUGGCCCCGUGCUUCUCUAAUGAGACCUCUGUUGGAGCAGCCUGGACUCAGCGCUUCCAACAGCCACGUCCCCUCGGGGCCACUCCCCGUCUCCUUGGGGCUGCGGCAGCCUGGCCUACUGACAGCACCCUCCGCCUGGAACACCCCUCCCAGCUUCUUUCCUUGGUGCAUCUCUGCCCAGAAGGCUCAGCUCAGCCAUCUCCUUCCCAUUGUCCAAAGCUCUGAGCAGCGUCGAGCUCAGGAUGAGGGAGCAGCCUCUCCUCCGGGGUCCUGCAGCCCCUGUCCUUCUCUUGCUUCUCCCUGUGGACCUGAGCCUCUUGAGGGCGGGAUGUAUGUCUCCCUUCUUUCCGUUUCCCAGAGACCCGCCCACAGUAGGAGGUCAGUCAAUAUCGAUGUCUCUUCCCCUUCCUUUCUAGGAAGAGAGUCCAGCAAAGGGCCUUGGAGCAUGAAAAAAUUAGUUGAGAAUUUGAAUGGUGGUUGUUUAAAUCUUUCAGUUUCUAACUGAAUGAAGUUGUCUUGUCUGGCACGUCAUUCGAGGCCCUGUCCGGGUCACUGCUGCCCCCCACGCUCACACUGCAGCGCAGAAAAGCACGGACCAUUCCUUCCCCAUCCCCGGGCCCACAGGCAUCCAGCCUCCUCCACUCCUCCUUCUCUCCCUCUUGGCCAGUGGGGUUAGCUAAGUGCAGGUUGAACCUCAUCCUUCACCGGGCACCCAGACUGUGACAUCACCACCCUAACCCUCACCUAUGAAACAGCCUGCUAUGAACUAGGUCCUUGGAAAAUCUCAGCUCCCCUUCCCGGCCCUCUCUCCCUGCAUAAACCGCUUUCGCCUCCAAAUCUGAAGCUCAUCCCUCUGGCCCAGGAAGCCUGCUCUGACCUUGCCCACCUCCCAUCUUCGCUAAACUUGAAGACCAGGUGGCCUCCGGCUCACUCGCGUGCCCUGGGAAGCUGCGGGGAGGGAUGGAGCCGCCCGUGCGCCUGGAUGAAGGUGGAAUCCCACAGUGGGGAGAGAUUGUUUUUGGACGUGACACAAAUGCUAAAUGAAGAGCCCUCGGCCUUCCAAGCAAUCUUUGCUUUGUGCUCCGAGGCCCAAAACUAACAUUUUCAUAAUAAUUUUCCAGUAUCAAAGUGAUAGUUUUGAUUCAAGACAGCUGAAGCCUGCAAAACUGCGUGGCGGCCUCUCCCGCCCUCUAGCCAAACAUGUGCCGCUGUCUCUAUUUUAACACCUUUGAUAAUCAUCGAAAAAUGCGCGGCCCAAGCAGUUUCUCAGCUCUCUGACCGGGGCGGCCGCCUCUGGAAGGAGCCCGCUGGAAGUCUGUUUUCCUUCUGCAUUACUCUGAGCCCGGGGCUUAGUGCUCCCGGCUUGCCUGGCUUUGCAGCCUCCCUCUCUACAUUCCAUUAGUGAUGUCUGAUGCAGGAAUUGGCCUUUCUAGGGCCGUUAAAAAGGGGGGAGCCCAAGAAAUACAGUAACCCAAUCUCAUGGAAAACUGAUAUAAUCUUUUCAAAACUAUAAAGAUCGCUCACCCGGAGGAACAUCUGCAUGGAAAAAGAAAAAGGUUUAAACAAACUGGAAAGGGGUCGGGUAACUUGUAAAGGCCGGCGUGUCGGGAGACCGCUGGCUCGUCCGAG